rnacentral:lncRNA from 1 species
CACCACCUGGGUUAUGAACUGGGGUCAUCGGGCUCCCUAAAGCAGGAGUACCAUCACAAGGAGUGUUUGAUGCUUGGCCUGAUCCCUACAUUGUGUUGGAAAGUCACAUUAAAAAGAGAUCUCAAGCUAUUUGUUGAAAAAUGAUAGGUAAUGCUUGACAUGUUUGGCAAUGUACUAACCGGAGUCUCGUCGUCACCACGUGUCAAGAAUUCCCCAAUCGUUAGCAUUACUGGGUUCGGCCCAGGAUUGCGUGGUGCCGGUCCCAUUGGUGCAAUCCGAGUGCCAGAUUCCAUCCAAAUGUACAUAUUCUGCAUGUUAGUUGACAAAGCGAAGACGGAAGUCAAAAAUAGUGAAAGCACAAAAUUUAGCUAGCUUGGCUAUAAAUGGUGAAAACUAACAAACUUGCAAUUGUUGGGCACGGUAUUCCUCGGCUCAAACCCGUUUGGCUUCAUGUUCAGCGAACUCUUGACGAUAAGUUUUGACAUACCUAGAGUAGGCCUAGAAUUUGACACAAUUAAUCUAAUCAGCAUAACCAUGCAGGAAAGAAAUGUGUGAACCGAUGAAAGGAGAGAUGCUUACUUCUUCCUCUUUGGAACGACUA